rnacentral:tRNA from 1 species
GACCGCAUAGCUCAGUUGGCAGAGCAUUGGGCUAGCAUUCCAAAAGUCGUAGGUUCGAUUCCCACUGUGGUCA